GUACAUAAUUACAACAUAGCGUUAAUGCAUCAGAUCCCAUUAGAACUAUGAAGUUAAGCGCACUCGAGAUAGCGUAGUACUGGGAUGGGUGACCUCUUGGGAAGUCCUAGUAUUUUACAUG
rnacentral:rRNA from 1 species